rnacentral:rRNA from 1 species
UCAGGACGAACGGCUGGCGGCGUGCCUAAUACAUGCAAGUCGAACGGCUUUUCUAUGGAAGCUUGCUUCCACUGAGAAGAUAGUGGCGAACGGGUGAGUAACACGUGGGUAACCUGCCCAUAAGAGGGGGAUAACAUCCGGAAACGGGUGCUAAUACCGCAUAGUUUUCUUGAUCGCAUGAUUGAGAAAGGAAAGACGGCCUUUGUGCUGUCGCUUAUGGAUGGACCCGCGGCGUAUUAGUUAGUUGGUGAGGUAACGGCUCACCAAGACGAUGAUACGUAGCCGACCUGAGAGGGUGAUCGGCCACAUUGGGACUGAGACACGGCCCAAACUCCUACGGGAGGCAGCAGUAGGGAAUCUUCCGCAAUGGACGAAAGUCUGACGGAGCAACGCCGCGUGAGUGAAGAAAAGGUUUUCGGAUCGUAAAACUCUGUUGUCAGAGAAGAACAAGUUGGAGAGUAACUGCUCCAGCCUUGACGGUAUCUGACCAGAAAGCCACGGCUAACCACGUGCCAGCCGCAGC